rnacentral:lncRNA from 1 species
CAGGGCACUAAUUGGCCCUGACCUGAAUGCUUUUUUUUUUUGCCAAACUUUACUGGAAGUUUAUCUCAACAGAAAAUUUUGUAAUAGACGUGUGCUGCGCAAGCAAGCAAUAUCCUGCAGAGCAAGAACAGUAUGGGUUAUUCAUUAUCAAGUCAGUACACGUGGUGAGCUCCACCCAGCUGCUCUUGAAACGUCUUAUUUUUGCUGUGAUGCAUCAGGGAGUCAACCAUGUCUUCGGGAGUGCCCUUGGAAAUUUUCAAGAGAAAAAUUAUUGACUCGAGAUGGAGAAGAACUGGGACAAGAAUGCCCUUGCUUCCAGACUCUUCAUCACCCAUCUGUGAUUCUUACAUUCAUGUGACUUGAACCAGAAAGCCAUAAUGUAACCAAACGCAAUAAUCAGGCGGGGGAAAGAAGGGAAGGAGAUUCCUUUGGUGCUUUGCUGAAAGCUG